rnacentral:rRNA from 1 species
GAUCAUGGCUCAGGAUGAACGCUAUCUACAGGCUUAACACAUGCAAGUCGGAGGGGCAGCAUGACGGAAGCUUGCUUUCGUUGAUGGCGACCGGCGCACGGGUGAGUAACGCGUAUCCAACCUGCCCUUGUCCAUCGGAUAACCCGUCGAAAGGCGGACUAACACGAUAUGCAGUUCUCAGCAGGCAUCUAACGAGAACGAAAUGUGAAGGAGAAGGAUGGGGAUGCG